GGGUGCAACCCUAUUUUCUCCCAUUGUAAAUCUCUGGGACAUUUAUGGGUGGGCAUAGUAGGUAUUCAUUCAGUAUUUUCUAAAAGAAGGAUCUUAGCCAAGCCUGAUGGAGCAGGAUAUGAUGUCAGCUACUUGGGAGACGAAUAGAAGGCGUAUCUCAGUUCAAGGUCUUCCUGGUACAGCCAACAAUGGAGAAGAAAGGGUAAAAUGGCAUGGUUGAUUCUGUGUCAUAUAUUUUCAUUAUUAGAUGUGUGUGUGUGUUGCGUGCGCGCGCGUGUGUGUGUGUGUGUGUGUGUGUGUGUGUGUGUGUGUGUAAGUCAGAGGACAGCUUGCAGGCAUUGGUUCUCUCCUCCAUCACGUGAAUUCCAGAGAUGGAAUCAAGUCCUCAGGCUCUUAGCACACACCUUUCCCCUCUGAGCCAUGUUGUUAGCUGUCUGCCCACCCUGUUUUGGGGGCGUGACCUAAUUCUGUCACCUUAUCGAUCUUGGAAUUUUGUAGCCAGGUCACAAACUCUUAGUGAUACUCCUGCCUCAGUUUCCAGAAUUCUAGGGUUACAGGUGUGAACCCCUACGGUUGAAGAUUUUAUUUUUUAAUGGCAUUUAAAUAUUAAAACCAAACUGAAAC
rnacentral:lncRNA from 1 species